rnacentral:rRNA from 1 species
UAAGACAGAGGGUGCAAACGUUGUUCGGAAUUACUGGGCGUAAAGCGCGUGUAGGCGGCUCGGAAAGUCGGGUGUGAAAGCCCUGGGCUUAACCCAGGAAGUGCACUCGAAACUUCCGAGCUGGAGUCCUGGAGAGGAAGGCGGAAUUCUCGGUGUAGAGGUGAAAUUCGUAGAUAUCGAGAGGAACACCGGUGGCGAAGGCGGCCUUCUGGACAGUGACUGACGCUGAGACGCGAAAGCGUGGGGAGCAAACAGGAUUAGAUACCCUGGUAGUCCACGCCGUAAACGAUGGGUGCUAGGUGUCGCGGGCUUUGACCCCUGCGGUGCCGUAGCUAACGCAUUAAGCACCCCGCCUGGGGAGUACGGCCGCAAGGCUA